GACGAACGCUGGCGGCGUGCUUAACACAUGCAAGUCGAACGGAAAGGCCCUGCUUUUGUGGGGUGCUCGAGUGGCGAACGGGUGAGUAACACGUGAGUAACCUGCCCUUGACUUUGGGAUAACUUCAGGAAACUGGGGCUAAUACCGGAUAGGAGCUCCUGCUGCAUGGUGGGGGUUGGAAAGUUUCGGCGGUUGGGAUGGACUCGCGGCUUAUCAGCUUGUUGGUGGGGGAGUGGCUUACCAAGGCUUUGACGGGUAGCCGGCCUGAGAGGGUGACCGGCCACAUUGGGACUGAGAUACGGCCCAGACUCCUACGGGAGGCAGCAGUGGGGAAUAUUGCACAAUGGGCGGAAGCCUGAUGCAGCAACGCCGCGUGCGGGAUGACGGCCUUCGGGUUGUAAACCGCUUUCGCCUGUGACGAAGCGUGAGUGACGGUAAUGGGUAAAGAAGCACCGGCUAACUACGUG
rnacentral:rRNA from 1 species